AUGGGUUCUCAGAGCACCAUCAACCUCUUUUCUAGUGCUUUUCUUGUAGGUAUGUACACAAAGUCUGUUUCCCAGCUCCCCUCAACACUCUAUGGAGGAAGAGACUGCUUCUAUUCCCCAAUACUGGACCGUGGCCCUUCAUAUUCAUCCACGGAGCUGGCACAGUGGUUAACCCUUGGGAUGGUGAGAGUGUGUGGGACUGGCCAGGGGGGCUGCGUGGGCCCGACCUUCCAAAGUGAGAACCGAUGCCUUAUAUUCAAAGGGCUUAUCAUGCACAUCCCACUUGCCAGCAACAGGAUCACAUCUCACGUGGGGGCUGCCUGUCUUUGGGGAAGAGGUGGAGUGCUGGUAUGAAUCAUGCUGUCACCCGUGCAGAUGGAGAAAUGCCACUCGCCCUGAAUUUACGGGUCUGAGGACUCUUUCCUGCGCUGCAUAUGUCAAGUCACAACUGCAUGCUCAUGUCUUUGAACUCUUGUUCCAGAGAGAGGGAAAAAAAAACCUCUGAAGAUGAAAAUUUUCUCACUUUCUUGUCUUUCAGACUGCAGCUAUUUUUCAAGAUACGUUCUUUAUACCCUAAAACAUAAAAUCCCUGGUUUUGCCUUCUUCUCGUGACAAAGAAGGUAGGAAAGAGGGCGUGUUAACAGAGGUGGAAAUGAAACAAGCCUUUUCACAGACUGCUUAAAUGAAGAUUUACCUAACAUUUAGCAGAUGCGCUGAGAGUGCUAAAAGGUUCUGGAGCGUCCCCCAUGGCAUUAGGUAUGAAGACGAAGGUAUUUAGGACUCUGUGUCCCCUGACCUUGCUGAAACUUAGUCUUGAAUACAAAGAGGCAAAGUAGGCC
rnacentral:lncRNA from 1 species